GAUGAACGCUGGCGGCGUGCCUAAUACAUGCAAGUCGAACGCAUAGCGAAAGGUGCUUGCACCUUUCAAGUGAGUGGCGAACGGGUGAGUAACACGUGGACAACCUGCCUCAAGGCUGGGGAUAACAUCUGGAAACAGAUGCUAAUACCGAAUAAAACUUAGUGUCGCAUGACACAAAGUUAAAAGGCGCUUCGGCGUCACCUAGAGAUGGAUCCGCGGUGCAUUAGUUAGUUGGUGGGGUAAAGGCCUACCAAGACAAUGAUGCAUAGCCGAGUUGAGAGACUGAUCGGCCACAUUGGGACUGAGACACGGCCCAAACUCCUACGGGAGGCUGCAGUAGGGAAUCUUCCACAAUGGGCGAAAGCCUGAUGGAGCAACGCCGCGUGUGUGAUGAAGGCUUUCGGGUCGUAAAGCACUGUUGUAUGGGAAGAACAGCUAGAAUAGGAAAUGAUUUUAGUUUGACGGUACCAUACCAGAAAGGGACGGCUAAAUACGUG
rnacentral:rRNA from 1 species